ensembl:lncRNA
UCCUUUGACCUUUCUGUUUACUGCUGUGUAUUUGGUAAUGGUAAACCUGUCUUCAUACUGUUUUGUUAGGGAGAUCCAGGAGAACCAGGAGAGAGGGGAGAGGAUGGGCGCCCAGGGGUCCCAGGAAAGCCCGGUCUUCCAGGAAAAGAGGGACAGAAUGGAGAAAAGGGUGAUGAAGGCACUCCUGGCGAGUCUGGACUUCCAGGGAAGCCUGGAGAAAGAGGACUGAGGGGAUUGACUGGUCAGCCGGGACGACUAGGAGAAAAAGGAGACAUGGGAGACCCUGGAGAGCACGGACGAAAUGUGAGGCAUACAUUUAUGUAUCCUCGUACAGACAGCUUUUCAAUAUCCUCUCGCACUAUUCUGCACUAUUAUUGGGGCCUUGAGAGGGGGGGAA